UGAGCAAUCUGCCCUUCUCAUCGGAAUAAGCGUUGGAAACGACGUCUAAUGCCGAAUACGACCUCCUUUCGCAUGAUCGGAGGUGGAAAGCUCCGGCGGAGAAGGAUGAGCUCGCGGCCUAUCAGCUAGUUGGUGUGGGUAAUGGCCCACCAAGGCGACGACGGGUAGCCGGCCUGAGAGGAUGGCCAGCCACAUUGGGACUGAGACACGGCCCAGACUNUACGGGAGG
rnacentral:rRNA from 1 species